AUGUCAAGGCUCUGCCUAAAUUCGUUGGGGUUCUGUCUCGUGAUGAAUUAUACCAAGAUAUAUCCAAAAAUAUUUCUGACACCCCUAAUAUAUUUAGAAUACCCCGAAUGCGAAAACCGGUCCCAAAUACUUUUAUAUAAUUAAAUAACAAAUAAAACAAAUUCCAAGGGUCGCUCGCGGGCCGCGACAGCUCAACGAUAAGCGAAAACAUGGUGCCGCCACGUGUCGAUGACUCAGCAAACCCUAGCCGCCUUUUCUGGACCUUGUGGGCCGCGUAGCCCUUAGCUACAUCUUACGCGGGCCGCGUAAAACUCGAAAUCAGAAACUAUAAAUAAGAGGCAUCGGCUGUCCAUUCCAAUUCGUUCAAAAUUCAAUUUCUCUCUCAAUUUCUGUAGUGUAGGCCCUAUACCCGGGCAUUAUACCCCCCCCCCUAAUUAGCGAAGCUCUGCCUCGUUAUUAUAACCUGGAAGUCACAAAGGAAAGCCCUAUAACAGCAAUGUAACUUAGUGUGAAGCCAAUAAAAGUCAGCUGGAGAGCACUGAAGGCUUAAAAAAGUGGCAAUAAAAGUUACCUAAUUAAAAAGGAGAAUUGUUUCCAAUAAUUAGGAUUAUUCCCUAUAAAUGUAUCAAAAUGAAAAAUCGGGUUUUGUCCCACUUAUAAAUAUAUUAUCAGAAAAACU
rnacentral:lncRNA from 1 species